UCGAGAAUCUUCGGCAAUGGGCGAAAGCCUGACCCAGCAACGCCGCGUGAAGGAUGAAGUAUUUCGGUAUGUAAACUUCGUAAGAAUAGGAAGAAUAAAUGACGGUACUAUUUGUAAGGUCCGGCUAACUACGUGCCAGCAGCCGCGGUAAUACGUAGGGACCAAGCGUUGUUCGGAUUUACUGGGCGUAAAGGGCGCGUAGGCGGUUUGUCAAGUCAGUUGUGAAAUCUCCGAGCUUAACUCGGAACGGUCAACUGAUACUGUCAAACUAGAGUACAGAAGGGGCAAUCGGAAUUCUUGGUGUAGCGGUGAAAUGCGUAGAUAUCAAGAGGAACACCUGAGGCGAAGGCGGGUUGCUGGGCUGAUACUGACGCUGAAGCGCGAAAGCUAGGGUAGCAAACGGGAUUAGAUACCCUCGUAGUCCCUGAGCGGGCUGGCAAGGCGCAU
rnacentral:rRNA from 1 species